rnacentral:rRNA from 1 species
UACGUAGGGUGCAAGCGUUGUCCGGAAUUAUUGGGCGUAAAGAGCUCGUAGGCGGCUUGUCGCGUCGGCUGUGAAAACCUGGGGCUCAACCCCGGGCCUGCAGCCGAUACGGGCAGACUAGAGGUAGGCAGGGGAGAGCGGAACUCCUGGUGUAGCGGUGGAAUGCGCAGAUAUCAGGAGGAACACCAGCAGCGAAGGCGGCGCUCUGGGCUGGAACUGACGCUGAGGAGCGAAAGCGUGGGUAGCAAACAGG